UAGGGAAUCUUCGGCAAUGGGGGCAACCCUGACCGAGCAACGCCGCGUGAGUGAAGAAGGUUUUCGGAUCGUAAAGCUCUGUUGUAAGUCAAGAACGAGUGUGAGAGUGGAAAGUUCACACUGUGACGGUAGCUUACCAGAAAGGGACGGCUAACUACGUGCCAGCAGCCGCGGUAAUACGUAGGUCCCGAGCGUUGUCCGGAUUUAUUGGGCGUAAAGCGAGCGCAGGCGGUUUGAUAAGUCUGAAGUUAAAGGCUGUGGCUCAACCAUAGUUCGCUUUGGAAACUGUCAAACUUGAGUGCAGAAGGGGAGAGUGGAAUUCCAUGUGUAGCGGUGAAAUGCGUAGAUAUAUGGAGGAACACCGGUGGCGAAAGCGGCUCUCUGGUCUGUAACUGACGCUGAGGCUCGAAAGCGUGGGGAGCGAACAGGAUUAGAUACCCUGGUAGUCCACGCCGUNNNGAUGAGUGCUAGGUGUUGGAUCCUUUCCGGGAUUCANUGNCGCAGCUAACGCAUUAAGCACUCCGCCUGGGGAGUACNACCGCAANNNU
rnacentral:rRNA from 1 species